CCUGGCAGUAAGGAAGAGAGAAAGGACGAGUAGAAAGGGCUCCACCAGAGAGGAAGAGAAGGCAGGUGAAGACUAGGGCAUGCACACUGUGAGCCCAGCUCGACGGACUUUUUAAUGGCUUGUCUCUGCGGGCGUGGUGAGCUACCAUCCUUUUUCACGAACCCAGACCAGCUUGCCUUCAAUUCCAGUACCAGUGAUACGCGGAAAGGACUCUAAAACUCGGAGGCAGAGCGAAUUUUAAAGUAGGGUCUCCGGGGGUCCCAGGGAUGAAGGAAGGAGUCUUCCUCUGAGAUGAACUUUUGACCCUGCCGCCUCGCGCAUGCUCACCGGUGCUCUGGUCACACUUCAAGCUGUAAGGUCUCUAGAUGUGGUGACUGCAUACCCAGCAUGUCGUUUUCCAUCGCUGACAGAACUGCUUCCAUCAGUGAACCAGGUUUCUGCAUCAUCCAAAGGGGUGUCCUUCAGGUCUGAGCGGCUGGAGUAGGUGGCUUCAAU